rnacentral:rRNA from 1 species
GAUUAACGCUGGCGGCGUGCAUAACACAUGCAAGUCGAACGAUGAAACUUAACUGAUUUCUUCGGAAUGAUUUUAAGUGGAUUAGUGGCGGACGGGUGAUUAACGCGUUAGUAACCUGCCUUGGAGAAGGGGAUAGCCUUUUGAAACGAAGAAUAAUACCCUAUGAUAUGAUAAUAUCUCAUGAUAUUAUCAUCAAAGAUUUAUCGCUCUAAGAUGGACUUGCGUCUGAUUAGUUAGUAGGUGAGGUAACAGCUCACCAAGGCAGCGAUCAGUAGCCGGAUUGAGAGAGUGUACGGGAACAUUGGGACUGAGACACGGCCCAGACUCCCACGGGAGGCAGCAGGGGGGAAGUUUGCACAAUGGGGGAAACCCUGAUGCAGCGACGCCGCGUGAUUUAGAAGGCAUGCGAGUUGUAAAAAUCUUUUGUAUGGGAAGAAAAUGACAGUACCAUACGAAUAAGGAACGGCUAAUUACGUG